UACGAAGGGGGCUAGCGUUGUUCGGAAUCAUUGGGCGUAAAGGGUGCGUAGGCGGCGCGGUAAGUCGGGUGUGAAAUCUCGGAGCUUAACUCCGAAACUGCAUUCGAUACUGCCGUGCUUGAGGACUGGAGAGGAGACUGGAAUUUACGGUGUAGCGGUGAAAUGCGUAGAUAUCGUAAGGAAGACCAGUGGCGAAGGCGGGUCUCUGGACAGUUCCUGACACUGAGGCACGAAGGCCAGGGGAGCAAACGGG
rnacentral:rRNA from 1 species